rnacentral:rRNA from 1 species
CAUCUGCCGUGGGGGCAACCCUGACUAGCCUGCCGCGUGAGUGAUGAAGGCCUUACGGUUGUAAAGCUCUUUCGGGGGGAAGAUAAUGACUGUACCCCCAGAAGAAGCCCCGGCUAACUCCGUGCCAGCAGCCGCGGUAAUACGGAGGGGGCUAGCGUUGUUCGGAAUUACUGGGCGUAAAGCGCACGUAGGCGGACGGAGAAGUCAGAGGUGAAAUCCCAGGGCUCAACCUUGGAACUGCCUUUGAAACUUUCUGUCUUGAGGUCGAGAGAGGUGAGUGGAAUUCCGAGUGUAGAGGUGAAAUUCGUAGAUAUUCGGAGGAACACCAGUGGCGAAGGCGGCUCACUGGCUCGAUACUGACGCUGAGGUGCGAAA